AGAGUUUGAUCCUGGCUCAGAUUGAACGCUGGCGGCAUGCUUUACACAUGCAAGUCGAACGGCAGCGCGGGGCAACCUGGCGGCGAGUGGCGAACGGGUGAGUAAUAUAUCGGAACGUACCCAAGAGUGGGGGAUAACGUAGCGAAAGUUACGCUAAUACCGCAUACGAUCCAAGGAUGAAAGCAGGGGACCGCAAGGCCUUGUGCUCCUGGAGCGGCCGAUAUCUGAUUAGCUAGUUGGUAGGGUAAAGGCCUACCAAGGCUACGAUCAGUAGCUGGUCUGAGAGGACGACCAGCCACACUGGAACUGAGACACGGUCCAGACUCCUACGGGAGGCAGCAGUGGGGAAUUUUGGACAAUGGGCGCAAGCCUGAUCCAGCAAUGCCGCGUGAGUGAAGAAGGCCUUCGGGUUGUAAAGCUCUUUUGUCAGGGAAGAAACGGUGAGGGCUAAUAUCCCUUGCUAAUGACGGUACCUGAAGAAUAAGCACCGGCUAACUACGUGCCAGCAGCCGCGGUAAUACGUAGGGUGCAAGCGUUAAUCGGAAUUACUGGGCGUAAAGCGUGCGCAGGCGGUUUUGUAAGUCUGAUGUGAAAUCCCCGGGCUCAACCUGGGAAUUGCAUUGGAGACUGCAAGGCUAGAAUCUGGCAGAGGGGGGUAGAAUUCCACGUGUAGCAGUGAAAUGCGUAGAGAUGUGGAGGAACACCGAUGGCGAAGGCAGCCCCCUGGGUCAAGAUUGACGCUCAUGCACGAAAGCGUGGGGAGCAAACAGGAUUAGAUACCCUGGUAGUCCACGCCCUAAACGAUGUCUACUAGUUGUCGGGUUUUAAUUAACUUGGUAACGCAGCUAACGCGUGAAGUAGACCGCCUGGGGAGUACGGUCGCAAGAUUAAAACUCAAAGGAAUUGACGGGGACCCGCACAAGCGGUGGAUGAUGUGGAUUAAUUCGAUGCAACGCGAAAAACCUUACCUACCCUUGACAUGGCAGGAAUCCCGGAGAGAUCUGGGAGUGCUCGAAAGAGAACCUGCACACAGGUGCUGCAUGGCUGUCGUCAGCUCGUGUCGUGAGAUGUUGGGUUAAGUCCCGCAACGAGCGCAACCCUUGUCAUUAGUUGCUACGAAAGAGCACUCUAAUGAGACUGCCGGUGACAAACCGGAGGAAGGUGGGGAUGACGUCAAGUCCUCAUGGCCCUUAUGGGUAGGGCUUCACACGUCAUACAAUGGUACAUACAGAGGGCCGCCAACCCGCGAGGGGGAGCUAAUCCCAGAAAGUGUAUCGUAGUCCGGAUUGUAGUCUGCAACUCGACUACAUGAAGUUGGAAUCGCUAGUAAUCGCGGAUCAGCAUGUCGCGGUGAAUACGUUCCCGGGUCUUGUACACACCGCCCGUCACACCAUGGGAGCGGGUUUUACCAGAAGUAGGUAGCUUAACCGCAAGGAGGGCGCUUACCACGGUAGGAUUCGUGACUGGGGUGAAGUCGUAACAAGGUAACC
rnacentral:rRNA from 1 species